CGUCUGAAGGACUCAGCAGGUUUACACUUCGCUGACCCGAUGGAUGAAUGGGGCCCUGUCCACCCACAUGGGGGCCUGGAAUCUUCAAUUAUGGCAAUUACAUCAACAGGUCGGAAGGGCAGCACUUUCCACUGAAGAGGUUCAGGGCUUAAAAGGAAAAUACUAAAGCCAGCUUUUUUUUUUCUUUCAUUUAAAGGGAUUGGGCUGAUGGAAGUAGACCCCCAUCUACAGUCUAAUUGGGCUGUGAGUAGAAAACAAAGAUGUGGCAUGUUUUUUGGGGUAGAAUCUGGCUGGCAUGUGCUUACCCACCUCUGGACUUUAGGCUUUUCUUUCAGUCGACUUCGUGUUGCAGUCCCUGGCGCAGGUGCACCCCCUGUCAACUUCCUCAAAUGGGACAUGGUGCCUUGUCUCUGAGUCCUCCCAGCUCACAAGGCUAGGGGAGGCAGUCCAGGCAGUCCUGAACUGGUGUCAGACAGGCUGGAUGAGACUUUGGAGAAGUUGCACAGUCUCUUCGAUUCAUGGUCUCCGUAUUUGUAAAAUGGCAUAGUGGAUAGAAUGGGUAAAAUCCAUCCUUCCUCCUUCCUACAGUUUUGAGGGAGAUUCUAGUCCCUGCUGCAUACUCAAGCUCAUUGGGUAUUUUCCCUCCCUCAGCCAUCCCGUUAGAUAGGUAAGACUUGAGUGAGACCCUUCUACCAGCAUCCUGAGAGCUUGUUAGAAACGCAGAAGCUCAGGCUCCACUCCAGAUCCACUGAGCCAGAAUCUGCAUCUGACCAAGCUUCCUUGGAAAUUUGUAUGCGUGUUCAAGUUUGAGAAGCACUGCUCUGGCCUGAAGCCUGCACACUAAAAACAUUACUUCGGUCUGUUCCUGGAUUGUACUGACUGUGGAGGAGGAUGGAGCAUUCAGAAUGCUGCCCAGGACAGUGACCACAAGACACAUGUGACUGCUGAGGAUUUGAAGUGUGGCUAACUGAGUGGAGAUGUACAGAAAAUGUCAAAUACUCUCUGAAUUUAAGAGAUUUAAAUGAAAAAAUGUAAGAUAUAUUUUACUAAUUGAUAAUUUUUGUAUGAUGAGUUAAAAUGACAAUUUUUAAAUACCUUGGUUAAAUAAAAUAUAUCAUUAAAUAAA